GUUCAAACACCUGUUCCCGUACGAUCACCGAAGUUAAGCCAAGUCGAGCCUGGUUAGUAGCUAGAUGGGUGACCGCUUGGGAAUACCAGGUGCUGUAAG